rnacentral:lncRNA from 1 species
AUGGGUGAAUGAUCUGUACUUAAUUGAAAUAGAUUGUGAGGCAGAGAAGUCUGCUAAGCUGCCAUACACAAAUAGGUGCCGGAAAUUAAAAGAGCAGAAGAGAGCAAUUGGAAUUCAGAAGUGGAAAAGGAAGGAAACAGUGAGUUCUUAUUGUAAUCUCUAUAGUGGUUUUUUAAUUCUUCUCAUCUUGCUUUUGUUUGCAUGAUAUGAUUAUGCUUUGCUCCCAUUUGCAGAGUAUGUAGUGAUUCAAUAGUAAUCAAAUAUUUAAAAUGGAAAUUAAACCUAUUCCCAGUGGAAGUGAUGUGUGUUUGUUUUUCAAUUCAUACUCGUUCAAUCUACCAUAAUUGAGCAAGCAAACUUAAAGCCUCAUACCAAUUACCAACCCCACAAUUCCUAAAUUUUCAAAUAACUCUCACAUGGAGAAUCACGUUUAAUUAUGCAAAUUCUCCAAAAUUUUCACCAAGUUGUUAAAAAAUCAGCAUCAAUUCACAGACACCAAGAACAAAAGCUUUUUUUUUUUUCAUUAUAGAUGACACUGUUAAUAUAUUUGCCUUAGGCCAUUAUCUUGAAUCUUUUUAUAUGUCGUUUUGGUUAUUAAUAUUAGAGAUUUUUAUUAUCAUUAUUAUUUGUUUGCAUGUUAUAUAAUAAUGAUUAUCAUCCCUGGUUACUUAUUAUUAUGUUGUUAAUAAUAAAAUAUAGCUAGUAUGAUUAUUAAUUGAUAAUCAUGAGAUGAUUAUGUAUAUGUUGAUAUAAUUCAAUAAUCAUAGAUACUUAUUAGAGAACAAAGUAUUGGAUGGACCCGCAUUGAGAUCACUUCAUGGUUAUUGUCAUAAGUAAAUCUCAAAGUAGUUAUGCCUUAAUCCUUUGACUUGAAAUUGUCAUAGUUUCCAACAUAAGGACUAUUAUGUUUUGACAUAACCAAACAUUGUCUUUAAUUGGACAAUCAUAAAGAUUAUGAUUGAGCAUAAUAGAAAUUAUGUAGAGGAUAUUGAACAAUCAAUAUAGGAUUUGUCCCUCUCUUUGAGAGAGAUAUCUUCUGGACCCUUCGAUAAGUGAGACUGAGAAAUGCAUGGCCGUGCUCAAAUGAAUUGAUAGUGUGAUCAAUAUCAUUUGAAUUUAUCAGUCUACUUAGAGAUCGAGAAAUCAUAAGUUUGAACAUUAUAAGUUUAACAUUGACCAUGACUUAUGUUCAAACUAGAUAUCGUGUGACAAAGGGAUUAAUACAUAUUCUAUUUAUUAGGAUUUAUCGGACUAUUGAUCCUCAUAUUAGUUGGGUAGUCAUAAUGUCUUGCUAGAGGCCACUUAUAACUUAUGAGCCUUGUGGGACUGGGCCUAUUGCCAAUUAAUGUGAACUUAUUGGAUCACACACAAAAGAACGUUGUUGAUGUGCUAUGACAUAUUAAUGGGCUAAAAGCCUAAAGCCCAUUAAUAUAAUUAAUAAUAAUAAAGUGUCAUUAUUAUUAAUCAUUAAUUAAUAAUAAUUUAUUAUUAUAAGAUAAUAGUAUUUAAAAAGAUUUGCAGUCUAUUUGUAACUGUUACAGAUAAAGAACUCUAUCACAUAAGAUAUUUGAGUAUAUGCGAGAUUGUGAUAGUGGAUUCUGAACACAACUCUUUUGAGAGAACAAAAAGACUGAAACAUAUAAAUACUCCUUCUACGAAUUGUGGAGUGAUGGUUUUUAGAAAAUUCAGUCUAACAGUUGCAGAUUGUGGAGCACAUAAUCUAUCCAUCCUUGAGAGAGCUAGCACUCUAGAAGGAUAGAAGACAUUCGUGUGGAUACCAUUGAGGGUGUUCGUUUGAAAAAGCAGCACCAUCAGUCUGGUAUUGUAUCUUCUCGACGAGAUUAACAGGUUAGUCUCAUAUCCUUCCUUUGAAAUAAACGAAGCACUCGGAUUUUGGGAAAGGAAGUCAAAGAUUUUUUUUUUCCGCUGCGCCUUUGGGUUGCAAUAACCUCUGGAUUUCCUAACAGUGGUAUCAGAGCCAACCUGUGCUUUUCGUUUAAGUUAAUUAUGCCAUGAUUGAUGUGAUAUAUGUGACAUAUGCUUAUUUGAAUGGCAUGAUAAUUAUGGUUAAAUUUAUGGAUGAAUCAUUGGAUCAUUUAGGUAAUUUUUGUUAGAAAUUUAAAUUAAUAAAAAAAAUUUAGAUUCACGAUGAACAGUCAUCGUGAACCCAGAAAUUGCUAAGGACCAGCUACUGCCAACCAUCACCUGUGAAGGCCACAGGCGAGCACGCGGUGGGUCCCACCGCUGACGCAUGCUCUAUCGGCUGGCUACCAAAGCAACGAUGGGGAGGUGGUCAUAUGUGUUGGCAUGCAUAUUGGGAAUCCUGAUUUUCAAUUGUGGACUGCCGCUGUCAGAGCAAGCUGGCCAGGGAGCACAAGCGUUGCGUCGUCUCCAGCCUCUCGGACUGGCGGUUUGAGCGGCAGACUUUUCAUCCGGUGGGCCGCCGGGGACUUCGAAGCCAAGAUGAGUCUCGACUCCUCUCGAUUUCUGCGAAUCGCGAGCUCGCCGGUGCUAUUUCGAGCUCGCCAUUGUACGAUCUUCUGGGCGACGAGCUCGACUACGAUGGACAGGUAGACAUGCAAUAUUUGCGCGUCGGGCUGGCUACGGUUGAAGCUGGACGGGUCGACAGGUUGCCUGCAAUGGCAUGUGGCGGCUAGGGAAACCUUUUUGAGGAAGAAGAUGAUGCCCUAAUUACAAUUCUGCCCCUGGAAAUAAUUUAAAAUAAAAAAAAAGAGAAAAUACAUUAUUUUCUUUUAGUCUUUAAAUCAGAUUUAAAUGACUAUGUAAAAUAGUUUUAUUAUUUUGUCAUAUAUUAGUAUGAGAUACUAUGCAUAAUAGUCUAUAUAUAUAUGUAUGCAUAUAGGAUACUAUAAUAUAUAUAUGCAAGACAAAAUAAUUAAAAUUAAAAGUUGAACCCUCACUCUAAAUUUUAAAUUUUAAUGCCACCCAUAUAUUAAAUACCUAUCAAGACUAAGAUCACCAAAAUGCAGGUUUUGCCAAAGCAAAGUGCUUAGUGUAACGACCCGAAAAUCGGACCGCUACCGGCGCUAGGAUCCGGGUCGACUUAAGGCCGCCGGGACCCGUAGCAAGCCAAACAUACAUCCUGGAAACCUGUUUAAUCCCAUACAUGAUCAAGAAAAUACAUAAAAAUUUAAAACUUUUCUUUCAUUCAUACACCAAACUCAACCUGUGCAUAAACAUAAUCAUAAUCAUAGUCAUGACCCCUCUGUGGGAUCUCAUCAAUGCCCCAAUGGGCGAUACAUCAUACGUUGAGUUGGUUUGCAUAAUCAUCAUAAAAUAUUUAAGAUCAUGUAUUAAAAGGGAUAUCUUAUACAUAUAGUCAAGCACAACCUCUAAUCCUCAAAGUCAUUACAUACCUAAAACUGUACUUUUACAUAACAUUAAUACAUUUAUCAUGUCCACACUAUCUAUUACAUAUACAUGACUUCAUUACUCUUGCGGACCUCCUGGUCUACCCUGUACCUGCAAUCCUGGGGAAAAAUGGGAGAGGGGUGAGCUACUAGAGCCCAGUGAGCAGAAUAAUAAAAACAUUUAAAUCAUAUGGAUAAUGGAAUGCAUCACAUCACAGCUAAUCACAUCAAGGAUGAACUUGUCACCAAUAGCCCUCUACAUAGUCCAACUGUGCUAGAACGUAGAAUGGGUCCUAGUCUUUCCCUUACAUAACAUAGCAUAACAUAACAGUCCAACUGUGCCAGAACGUAGAAUGGGUCCUGGUCUUUCCCUUACAUGGUGCCAGCGAACGUAGAAUGGGUCCCACUGGUCUUACAUUCCAUACCGUACAUAUCACAUCGUCAUAUCAUAGAUCGAGGGCUUUGGAUCAUCCAACGUUUAUCCACAUCAAUCAACAAUAAAGUAUACAAUGCAACAUAUUUGUGAAUUCUAAUGCAAACAACCUAGUACAUCUCAUGGCAUUCAUGAUGCGUGAAGCAUGCUAAAAAGUCCAUUAUUUACUUUAAAACAUAAUGAGUUAUUCCACUCACCUCUGGGUAGCUCUGACCAGACACUGGAUCAGCUGACUCACUGCUGGGGUCCUCGGUUCCUCGGGUCCGAACCUACACAGGUGGACUCAAAUGAGGGACCAACAAACAAGAACAUAACUCUAAACUACUCCCCAAAAACCCCCUAAAACAUCAUGAAACAAUCAUAGAAAAACAUGCAAGAGAGGGCUGGACAGGGCACUUUCGGCGGCAGGUUCGGCAGCCGAAAGUCCCUCCAGAGCCGAAAGUUAGGCAGGUUCGGCGGCACCUUCGGCGGCCGAAACUCCCAGACAGUGGCGAAACUCAUGCAUGUUCGGCGGCACUUUCGGCGGCCGAAACUCCCAGACAGAGACGAAAGUCUCCUUUCGGGGGCAAGCUUCGGCAGCCGAAGGCUGCCUCCACAAGCAUGUUCGGCGGUCGAAAGUUCAUUCGACUGCCGAACCUGGUUUCUCCCUUAGUGGCAGAAACUCAGCUCUCCUAUGCACAUUGCCUCCAAAACUACCCAAAUCAUGCAUAACCUAUUCUACAACAUUCCCAAACAUACACAAACAAGCAUACAAGUUCCUAGGGGCAUCAAACCAUCAAAAACCCCAACUACAACACAUCAAGCAACUCACAUUAUUCAUAAACACAUAUAAAACCCAUAAACCUAACCAUGAGCUAAACAUGCAUUCUACCCCAUAGAUCUACUUAAAACUUGCUUAAAACAUGCAAUGAGCUUAAGAUCGGCUCUUACCUCGUGGAGACCGAGAGAGACGACCUAAACUCGGAGAUGGGAGGGGUUGAGUUCCCUUGAACCUCAAAGCUCCAAAACUUUGCUCAAAGCUUGAAAAUCUUCAAAACAACGUAAAAACUCAUGAAAAUCGAGUAGGAUUGGAAGGAAAGAACUCAAGAUCGGUGAGGGACGGCGGAGAGCUCACCUUGGCCGAAAAUGGGGAAAAAGCUCGCCCGUUUUCGGCCACGUUCGGGGGCCGAACGUGCCUCCGCAUGCAUGCCAUGUUCGGCGGCCGAACUUGAGGUUCGGCGGCCGAACCUGGACUUUCCUCACUUAUGCUUUCGGGGGCCUAAAGGCGCUCCCGAAGGCAUGCAUGUUCGGCGGCCGAACCUGAGUUUUCCUCCAAGGGUGUUUUUAUGCAAAAACUCAUUUCCAUUUUACUUAAAAUCAUCAAAAACAUUAAAACAUUUCAUGAAAACAUGGUUUUACCCUUUCUAGAGGUCUCCGACAUCCGAGAUUCCACCGGACGGUAGGAAUUCCGAUACCGGAGUCUAGCCGGGUAUUACAUUCUCCCCCCCUUAAGAACAUUCGUCCCCGAAUGUUCCUCAACUAGCACAUAGCAUGGCAUAAAGCAUAACAUACAUACAUAGCACAUAAACACAUAGAGAUCUAACCUUAAAAGAGAUGAGUGUACUGCUGGAGCAUAGACUCCCGUGUCUCCCAAGUGCAUUCUUCGAAAUUGUCGUGGUUCCACAGGACUUUCACCAUCGGGAUUUCCUUGUUCCUUAGCUUUCUGAUCUGGGUGUCUAUAAUCCGUACUGGCAGUUCAACAUAGGUGAGAUCCUCUUGGACCUCCACAUCAGGCUCACUAAGAACCUUGCUCGGAUCUGACACAAACUUCCUCAACAUUGAAACAUGGAAAACCAGAUGGAUUCUUUCCAUUGAAGCAGGUAAAUCCAGCUUGUACGACACAUUCCCAAUCUUUUGCAAGAUUUCAAAGGGUCCGAUGUAUCGUGGGGCUAGUUUACCUUUCUUCCCGAAGCGAACCACUCCCUUCAUAGGAGACACCUUGAGUAAUACCAGAUCCCCUUUCUGAAACUCUAACUGCCUUCUGCGGAUGUUUGCAUAGCUCUUCUGUCUGCUUGCAGCAGUUUUGAUCCUUUCUCUGAUUAUGGGUACUACCCUGCUAGUAAUCUCUACUAGCUCAGGCCCUGCCAAGGCCUUUUCUCCAACCUCUUCCCAGCAAACAGGUGAUCUGCACUUCCUUCCAUAUAAAGCUUCAUAUGGAGCCAUCCCGAUGCUAGCAUGAUGGCUGUUAUUGUAGGCAAACUCCACCAAAGGUAGAUGCUGCCUCCAAGAACCGCCAAAGUCCAGCACACACAUUCUAAGCAUAUCCUCGAUAGUCUGGAUGGUCCUUUCGGACUGUCCGUCCGUCUGAGGGUGGAAGGCAGUACUGAAAUCCAACCUAGUACCCAUGGCAUUCUGCAGACUCCGCCAAAACCUGGAGGUGAACUGGGGCCCUCUAUCUGACACUAUCGAAACAGGAACCCCAUGCAGCCUGACGAUCUCAUCGACGUACACCUGCGCCAACUUGUCCACAGAAUAGCCACUCCUGACAGGGAUGAAGUGAGCAGAUUUGGUGAGUCUGUCCACAAUCACCCAUAUGGAGUCCAAUCUGUUGGACGUCGCCGGUAACCCCACUACGAAGUCCAUAGCUAUAUUUUCCCAUUUCCACUCUGGAAUAGGUAGCGGGUUAGGCAUUCCAGCCGGCUUCUGAUGUUCCAGCUUCACCCUCUGACACACUUCGCAGGCUGACACAAACAGUGCCACUUCUUUCUUCAUAACUGGCCACCAAUAAACCUUCUUCAGAUCUUGAUACAUCUUGGUGGCUCCGGGGUGAACGUUGUAUCUUGCAUUAUGAGCCUCUCUCAUAAUGUCUCCUUUUAGCCCUAUGUCAUCUGGUACACAUAGUCUGGUCCCAUAGCGGAGGAUCCCUUUGCUAUCGAAUCUGAACUCACUAUCUUUGCCUGACUGAACAGUCCUGGCAAUCUUCACUAACUCUGGGUCCUCAUGCUGUUUCUGAGCCACCUGCUCCAGAAACACGGGUGCCACUCUCAUCUGGGCUACCAAAGCACCUGUACCAGACAACUCCAACUAAAGACCUUCCUCAACGAGCUUGUAAAACUCCUUCACCACUGGCCUCCUCUCUGCCGAUAUGUGGGAUAAACUGCCGAGUGAUUUUCGGCUUAAGGCGUCUGCCACAACAUUCGCCUUAUCCGGAUGGUACUGAAUCUUGCAAUCAUAGUCACUCAGCAGCUCCACCCAUCUUCUCUGUCUCAAGUUCAAAUCUCUUUGACUCAGGAUGUACUGCAUGCUCUUAUGAUCUACAAAGAUCUCACAUUUAACCCCAUAGAGGUAGUGCCUCCACAUCUUGAGUGCAAAGAUUACUGCUGCCAUCUCCAGGUCAUGUGUGGGGUAAUUCAACUCAUGCUUCUUCAGCUGCCUAGAGGCAUAAGAAAUUACCCUUUCAUUUUUCAUUAACACACAACCCAAACCCACUCGGGAUGCAUCACAGAAGACCGUGAAGUCCUCACUGCUAGCCGGCAAAGCUAACACCGGUGCCGAAGUCAACCUCCUCUUAAGCUCUUCAAAACUCUCUUCGCACUGGUCGGUCCACACAAACUUCUAAUUCUUCCUGGUUAACUUGGUCAGAGGAGCUGCAAUCUUUGAGAAGUCCUGAACGAACCUCCUGUAGUAACCUGCCAAACCCAAGAAACUCCUGAUUUCUGCCACUGAAGUGGGUCUAGGCCAGUUAGCCACAGCUUCUACCUUCUUGGGGUCCACUUCUAUCCCAUUUUCUGACACUACAUGCCCCAAGAAUGAAAUGCUCCUCAGCCAGAACUCACACUUAGAGAACUUGGCAUACAAGCCAUGUUCCCUCAAGGUCUGCAGAACCAACCUCAGAUGAUGGGCAUGCUCCUCUGCGUUCCUGGAAUACACCAAGAUAUCAUCUAUGAAGACAAUAACAAAGUGAUCCAGGUAUUGGCUAAACACUCUGUUCAUGAGAUCCAUGAAUGCUGAGGGGCGUUUGUUAACCCGAACUGCAUCACAAGGAACUCAAAAUGCCCAUAUCUGGUCCUGAAAGCUGUCUUUGGCACAUCUUCAUCCUUUAUCCUUAGCUGAUGGUACCCCGAUCUUAGAUCUAUUUUGGAGAAACAACCCGCUCCUGCUAGCUGGUCGAAUAGAUCAUCGAUCCUUGGCAGAGGGUACCUAUUCUUGGUAGUGACUUUGUUCAACUGCCUGUAAUCGAUACAAAGUCUAAGGGACCCAUCCUUCUUCUUUACAAACAAGACUGGAGCACCCCAAGGUGAGGUACUCUGUCGGAUGAAACCCUUUUCUACCAGCUCCUGCAACUGCUCUUUCAACUCCUUCAACUCAGUUGGGGCCAUCCUGUAGGGAGGGAUAGAGAUCGGUCUAGUUCCAGGCACCAACUCUAUCUCGAACUCUAUCUCCCUAGCAGGUGGUAAACCUGGAAGCUCGUAUGGAAAGACAUCCUGAAACUCUCUGACAACUGGCACCGAGGCUGGCUCCCUGACCUGACUACUAAGCUCUCUCACAUGAGCCAAAUACCCCUGACAUCCCUUCCUAAGCAACCUACGAGCCUGAAGAGCUGAUAUCAGACCUCUAGGUGUACCCCUCUUGUCUCCUCUGAAGACGACCUCUGACCCGUUCUGAUCUCUGAACCUGACUACCUUGUCCCUGCAGUCCAAGGUAGCACCAUGGGUAGAUAGCCAAUCCAUCCCUAGAAUGACGUCAAAGUCUGUCAAAUCUAGAACCACAAGGUCGGCGGAGAGGCAUCUUCCCUCAACAAAAACUGGACUGUACUGGCAGACUGACUCUGCCACUGACGGGUCACACUUGGGUCCACUGACCCAUAGGGGACACUCUAACCCAGAGACUAUCAGACCCAACCUCUCAACGGCUCUCGGAGCAAUAAAAGAAUGAGAUGCACCCGGGUCCAUUAAUGCAUACACAUCAGAAAACCAAAUGACGAGAUUACCUGACACCACGGUGUUGGAUGUGUUAGCCUCCUGCUGAGUCAUGGUGAAGAUCCUGGCUGGGGCUGAUGGACCUUCACCUCGGGAACCAGAAGAAGAGGCUGCCCCUCUCCCUCUACCUCUGCCACUGCCCUGAGUUGUGGCUGGAGCUGCUGGCUGUGCCACACUACCAGAAGCUGUCUGCUGGGGCUGGCCCAAAAAAGGUGCUCUAGGACACUCCCGAGCCAUGUGUCCCUCCUAUCCACAUCUGAAACAUGAAUUGGUCCCAGCUCGACACACUCCUUUGUGCGGCCUCCCACACCUUUGGCAUUCUGUACCGUCUGAACCUGAGCUCGAGCCACCGCCGAAUCCCAAACUGGAUUUCAACUUACUCCAAAACUUAUUCUGCUUCGGUUUCUUGGUGGUGUUAUUCCACCUCUUGCUACUUGAGCCCUGAGAAGAGAGACCUAGCCCUCCUCUGCCUGGGGUCUUAACCCCUGAAGACUGGGUCACUGACUGCUUUACUGACCCCUCAACUAUAGCACUCGCCUCCAUCCUUCGAGCCAUAUCCACCACAGUGUGGAAACUUUCCCUCUCAACUGACUGAAUCAAAGAGGAGUACCUGGAAUGCAGCUUCAUAACAUAUCUCUUGGCUUUCUUCAAAUCGGUAUCUAAAGCUUGCCCUGAAAAAGGCAAUAGCUCUAAGAAUUUAUCCGUGAACUCCUCUACGCUCAUGUGCUCUGUCUGCCUCAGCUGUUCAAACUUAAUCAUCUUCAGUUCUCUGGAACUGUCUAGAAAAGCCCAUCCAGCGAACUCAUUUGCAAAUUCUUCCCAUGUCAUGCCGUCUAGUCUCGGGUCCACAUAACACUUGAACCAUUCCCGUGCCUUCUUGCACUUUAAGGUGAACCCUGCCAUCUGAAUGGCCCUGCUAUCAUCCUCCCCUAGCUCAUCAGUUAUUGUCUUCACUACUCUCAGAUACUCAAAGGGGUCAUCCCCUGACUUGUAUUUGGGAGUAUCCAGCUUAAGGUAAUCUGUCAUCUUUACCUUGCUCCCACCGACUGAGCUAGGUCUAGAAGGUUGAGUAACUGGGGCUACUGGUUCUGUAGGUGGUGGAGGUGGGGGUGCAGCAUUCCCCGAGGUGGGGUUUGCCGGGUUUGGAUAGAAGGGUGAGGGUGGAUAAGCUGGGUACUGCGUGUAAGGUGGAUAGAAAGGUGGAUAAGGCAUGUAGGUAGAAUAGGGGUUAAAGCUGGAAUAAUCCGAUGUACCUCCCAUCGGAUACCCUGAACCUUGUGGGAAGGGUGGAUAAUGGGGUGGAAAACCAUACCCCGAGGCCUGAAUGCCUCCCUGUGACUCCCCUGUCCCCUCUUCCUCCAUGCUAACAUCCAGAUUCUCAUCCCUCCUCUGAUCCUCUUCCAUAACCUCCCUCACAUCUGAAGAACUUCCUCCUCUAUCUGUCCCCCUUCUGCUAGCAUCAAAAGACCUUCUAGGGUCCCUUGACACUCUUUCUCUAUUUGCUCUACAUGACAUUGCCCUAGGCAAUGUAGGAGGACGGGCGCUCGUGCCCUCAUCCUCAGGUGGCACUCCAGUCAAUCGUGCAGAUCGACGAGUUCCUCUCAUCCUUUUUUCUGAAAAACAGUACACAUCACAUAAACAUUAGCAUCAUAUGGUUCAUGUGGGCACACAUGAACCCUCAUCACAUACAUCACAUAUCAUUAAUGCACAUGCAUAUGAUCAUGGCAUUUCACAUCAUCAUACAAGACAGGACUCCACAUCCUAUCCUAGUGGACAUGAUCUUUCCUAUUGUGCUUGACCUUCUAUAACAUCUAUGAGCCCGACACUCUAGGUCCGAUCCUAAGAACCUAGGGCUCUGAUACCAUUCUGUAACGACCCAAAAAUCGGACCGCUACCGGCGCUAGGAUCCGGGUCGACUUAAGGCCGCCGGGACCCGUAGCAAGCCAAACAUACAUCCUGGAAACCUGUUUAAUCCCAUACAUGAUCAAGAAAAUACAUAAAAAUUUAAAACUUUUCUUUCAUUCAUACACCAAACUCAACCUAUGCAUAAACAUAAUCAUAAUCAUAGUCAUGACCCCUCUGUGGGAUCUCAUCAAUGCCCCAAUGGGCGAUACAUCAUACGUUGAGUUGGUUUGCAUAAUCAUCAUAAAAUAUUUAAGACCAUGUAUUAAAAGGGAUAUCUUAUACAUAUAGUCAAGCACAACCUCUAAUCCUCAAAGUCAUUACAUACCUAAAACUGUACUUUUACAUAACAUUAAUAUAUUUAUCAUGUCCACACUAUCUAUUACAUAUACAUGACUUCAUUACUCUUGCGGACCUCCUGGUCUACCCUGUACCUGCAAUCCUGGGGAAAAAUGGGAGAGGGGUGAGCUACUAGAGCCCAGUGAGCAGAAUAAUAAAAACAUUUAAAUCAUAUGGAUCAUGGAAUGCAUCACAUCACAGCUAAUCACAUCAAGGAUGAACUUGUCACCAAUAGCCCUCUACAUAGUCCAACUGUGCCAGAACGUAGAAUGGGUCCUGGUCUUUCCCUUACAUGGUGCCAGCGAACGUAGAAUGGGUCCCACUGGUCUUACAUUCCAUAGCGUACAUAUCACAUCGUCAUAUCAUAGAUCGAGGGCUUUGGAUCAUCCAACGUUCAUCCACAUCAAUCAACAAUAAAGUAUACAAUGCAACAUAUUCGUGAAUUCUAAUGCAAACAACCUAGUACAUCUCAUGGCAUUCAUGAUGCGUGAAGCAUGCUAAAAAGUCCAUUAUUUGCUUUAAAACAUAAUGAGUUAUUCCACUCACCUCUGGGUAGCUCUGACCAGACACUGGAUCAGCUGACUCACUGCUGGGGUCCUCGAUUCCUCAGGUCCGAACCUACACAGGUGGACUCAAAUGAGGGACCAACAAAUAAGAACAUAACUCUAAACUACUCCCCAAAAACCCCCUAAAACAUCAUGAAACAAUCAUAGAAAAACAUGCAAGAGAGGGCUGGACAGGGCACUUUCGGCGGCAGGUUCGGCGGCCGAAAGUUCCUUCGGCUGCCGAACCUGGUUUCUCCCUUAGUGGCAGAAACUCAGCUCUCCUAUGCACAUUGCCUCCAAAACUACCCAAAUCAUGCAUAACCUAUUCUACAACAUUCCCAAACAUACACAAACAAGCAUACAAGUUCCUAGGGGCAUCAAACCAUCAAAAACCCCAACUACAACACAUCAAGCAACUCACAUUAUUCAUAAACACAUAUAAAACCCAUAAACCUAACCAUGAGCUAAACAUGCAUUCUACCCCAUAGAUCUACUUAAAACUUGCUUAAAACAUGCAAUGAGCUUAAGAUCGGCUCUUACCUCGUGGAGAUCGAGAGAGACGACCUAAACUCGGAGAUGGGAGGGGUUGAGUUCCCUUGAACCUCAAAGCUCCAAAACUUUGCUCAAAGCUUGAAAAUCUUCAAAACAACGUAAAAACUCAUGAAAAUCGAGUAGGAUUGGAAGGAAAGAACUCAAGAUCGGUGAGGGACGGCGGAGAGCUCACCUUGGCCGAAAAUGGGGAAAAAGCUUGCCCGUUUUCGGCUAAGGGACCCUUUUAUAGUGGCUGGCCAGGCCACGUUCGGGGGCCGAACGUGCCUUCGCAUGCAUGCCAUGUUCGGCGGUCGAACCUGGACUUUCCUCACUUAUGCUUUCGGGGGCCUAAAGGCGCUCCCGAAGGCAUGCAUGUUCGGCGGCCGAACCUGAGUUUUCCUCCAAUGGUGUUUUUAUGCAAAAACUCAUUUCCAUUUUACUUAAAAUCAUCAAAAACAUUAAAACAUUUCAUGAAAACAUGGUUUUUACCCUUUCUAGAGGUCUCCGACAUCCGAGAUUCCACCGGACGGUAGGAAUUCCGAUGAGUAAUAGUUACUCAUCUAUUUAAUUUUGGUUAAGCUUAAUUAGGCUAUCAAAACGGUUUUGGGCCUAAGGCAUUAGAUGGGGUAUAACAUGCAUUUGACAUAUGAUGUCAACACCUCAUAAUCUAAGAGUUAUAUUAGAUGUAAUUGGUAAGGAGUUACCUACCUAAAUAACUUAAUUCUAAGCGUCAUGCCAAAGCUGACUUAGGUGAAAUAUGGAUCUUAGCCCACUAAAAUAUUAUUAUUUUAAUAAUUAUUUUGAGGGUUAUAUUUUAGUGGGAGAUUAUUAUCACCUCAAUAUUAAUUUGCUAAAUUGAUUAUAUUUGCAUAUUUUGUAGAUCAUUAUGGCUGCUAAUAAUAAUUCCACUUUAUCACUGCGAUCCAUCCUUGAGAAGGAUAAACUGAAAGAAAAUGGGACUAAUUUUGUUGACUGGUUUAGAAACUUGAGAAUUGUUCUCAAGCAAGAGAAAAAGUCCUAUGUGCUUGAUGAAGCUAUCCCAGAACCACCUCUUGCUGAUGCUACUAAUGCUGUUAAGAACAAGCAUAAGAAGCAUAUGGAUGAUUCUAAUGACAUUGGAUGUCUUAUGUUGGCAACUAUGUGCCCAGAACUUCAGAAGGAUCUAGAGCACCUUAAGGCUUAUGAGAUGAGUGUCCAUCUCAAACAAGCUUUUCAACAACAAGCUAGGCAGGAUAGGUAUGAAACUACCAUUGCAUUGCAUGAUUGCAAAAUGGCUGGAGGUGAAUCAGUUAGUGCUCAUGUUUUGAGAUGAAAGGCUACAUUGAUCACCUUGCUAGGCUUGGCUACCCUCUGAGUUUAGAACACUCCACGGAUUUGAUCCUACAUUCUUUACCUGGCAUUUUUUCUCAGUUUGUCAUGAACAAUAACAUGAACAAUAUGGAGAAAUCCAUUCCUGAGCUGCAUGGGAUGCUAAAGACAGCUGAGAUAAAUGUCAAGAGAAGGCCUACCCAAAUUUUGAAUGUCAAUAAGGGUAAGCCCAUGAAAAAUAAGGGGAAGCCCAAGUCUAAAGGUGGUAAUGGGCCUAAGGGGCGAGGCAAGCCUAAAUGGCAAGCCAAGGCAAAAGUUCCUAAGGAAAUAGUUCCUAAGGAAGGAAUCUGCUUCCAUCGCAAGGAACCGGGGCAUUGGAAGAGAAAUUGCAAACUCUAUUUGGAUGAGUGCAAGAAGAAGAAGAGUAGUGAGACUACGACUUUAGGUAUUUAUAUUAUAGAUAUUAAUUUAUCUAUUUCUACUUCAUGGGUACCGAAUGUGAUUCUCAUAUUUGUACAAAUGUGCAGGGUCUCAAAAGGAGUAGAACACUGAAAAAGAGCGAUGUGGACCUACGUUUAGGCAAUGGAGCAAGAGUUGCUGCCUUAGCUGUAGGGACUUAUAAACUUGUUUUUCCCAAUGGGCUUUUGUUAGUUUUGAACAAUUGCUUUUAUGUUCCUACUUUGAGUAGGAAUAUUAUUUCAGUUUCUGUUUUGGACGAUGAAGGUUUUUCAUUUCUUAUUUAGAAUAAGAAAUGCUCCAUUAAUAAAAAUGAUUUGCUUUAUUGUAUUGCAAAUUCAUAUGAUGGCCUUUAUGUCCUUAAUCUAGAUUAUUCUAGAGACAACAAUAUCUAUAACAUAACUUCUAAGAAAACUAAGCUAAAUGAGUUAAACUCAACAUAUUUAUGGCACUGUCGUCUUAGCCAUAUAAAUGAGAAUCACAUAUCUAAGCUCCAUAAAGAUGGUUUAUUAGAUUCAUUUGAUUUUGAAUCAUUUGAAAAUUAUGAAUCUUGUUUGCUUGGUAAGAUGACAAAGGACCCUUUUACUGGACAAGGUUAAAGGGGUUCAGACUUAUUGGGCUUAAUACAUACAGAUGUAUAUGGCCCACUAAGUAUUAGUUCCAAGGGAGGUUAUCAGUACUUCAUUACAUUCACUGAUGAUUUCAGUAGGUAUGGCUACAUCUACCUAAUAAAACAUAAGCAUGAAUCUUUUGAAAUGUUUAGAACUUUUCAAAAUAAAGUACAAAAUCAACUUGAUAGAACUAUUAAAAUGCUUCAAUCUAAUCGAGGUGGUGAAUAUUUGAGCCAAGAGUUUGAUGAAAAUCUUAGAAAUUAUGGAAUUGUUUCACAAUUGACUCCUCCAGGAACUCCAUAAUGGAAUGGUGUUUCUGAAAGGAGAAAUCGAACUUUAUUAGAUAUGGUUCGAUCUAUGAUGAGUCAAACAAAUCUCCCUUUAUCAUUUUGGGGUUAUGCCUUGGAAACAGUUGCAUUCAUUUUAAACCGAGUACCAUCGAAAGCGGUUGAAAAGACACCAUAUGAGUUAUGAACUGGCAAAAUGCCCAGUUUGUCUUUUCUUAAGAUUUGGGGUUGUGAGGUUUUUGUGAAACACCCAAUUUUAGAUAAGCUAGCUCCAAAAUCUAUCAAGUGCAAUUUUGUGGGGUAUCCUAAGGAAACCAAAGGAUACUAUUUCUAUAUUCCCUCAGAGAACAAAGUAUUUGUUGCUCGAAGUGGUACCUUUUUGGAAAAGGAAUUUAUCUCUCAGAGAUUCAGUAGGAGUACAGUACAACUUAAGGAAACUCAAGCACCACAAGAGAGCAUUGAACCGCCGAUAGAACCACUUUCAGAACCACAAACAGUUGUGGAAACUGAAAGGGUGACACAAGUCCCAUGCAGAUCUGAUAGGACACAUCAUCAGCCUGAGAGAUACAGAUUUCUCAUGACUGAUAGUCGUAAACUUUUGCUCAUUGAUCAAGAUGAGCCUACUACCUAUCAAGAGGCUGUGUCAGGUCUAGAUUCCGGGAAAUGGCUUUCUGCCAUGAAAUUUGAAAUGCAAUCCAUGUAUGACAAUCGAGUUUGGUCAUUAAUUGAUCCCCCUGAGGGUGUUAAUACCAUUGGUUGCAAAUGGGUUUUCAAGAAGAAAACUGACAUGGAUGAAAAUGUGCAUACCUACAAAGCAAGGCUUGUCGCAAAAGGUUUCAAACAAACUCAUGGUAUAGACUAUGAUGAGACCUUUUCGCCAGUUGCAAUGCUUAAGUCGAUUAGAAUUCUCAUUGCCAUUACUGCGUACUAUGAUUACGAGAUAUGGCAAAUGGAUGUCAAAACAGCUUUCCUUAAUGGAAACUUGCUCGAGGAUAUGUACAUGACACAACCUGAGGGUUUUGUAAUCCCUGAGAAUUCUAAAAAGAUUUGCAAGCUUCAAAGAUCCAUUUAUGGAUUGAAGCAAGCCUCUCAGAGCUGGAAUCUUCGUUUUGAUGAGACAGUCAGGGACUUUGGAUUCAUCAAGAAUGAAGAUGAACCUUGUGUUUACAAGAUGGUUAGUGGGAGUGCAGUUGUGUUUCUGGUCCUAUAUGUGGAUAACAUAUUACUCAUUGGAAAUGAUAUCCCUACCUUGCAAAAGGUUAAGACUUGGUUAGGGAAUUCUUUUUCAAUGAAGGACUUAGGUGAGGCUGCAUAUAUCCUUGGUGUUAAGAUCUAUAGGGAUAGAUCCAAGAGGAUAAUCGGUCUGAGUCAAAGUACUUAUAUUGACAAGGUGCUGAAAAGGUUCAACAUGCAACAUUCCAAAAGAGGAUUCUUGCCCAUGUCUCAUGAUAUUCAUUUCAGCAAGAAUCAAUGUCCUAUGACAUCUGAUGAGCGAGAAUGAAUGAAUAAGAUUCCUUAUGCUUCUGCUAUUAGAUCUAUCAUGUAUGUCAUGUUAUAUACUAGACCAGACGUCUCAUAUGCAUUAAAGCACAACAAGCAGAUAUCAGACAGACCCCGGUGAAAGUCACUGGAUAGCUAUUAAGAAUAUCCUAAAGUACCUUAGAAGGACGAAGGAUGCAUUCCUAGUUUAUGGAGGUUUGGAAGACGAGCUAGUUGUAAAUGGUUACACAGAUGCUAGUUUCCAAACCGACAUAGAUGACUUCAGAUCGCAGUUAGGAUUCGUAUUCACUUUAAAUGGUGGAGCUGUUAGCUGAAAAAGUUCCAAGCAGAGCACUGUAGCAGAUUCUGCAACAGAAGCUGAGUAUAUAGCAGCAUCAGAUGCAGCUAAAGAGGCAAUCUGGUUGAAGAAAUUCAUCACAGAGUUGGGAGUGGUUCCCAGCAUUGCAAAUCCUAUGGACCUUUAUUGUGAUAACAAUGGUGCCAUAGCACAGGCAAAGGAGCCCAGAUCUCAUCAGAGAUCUAAACACAUACUCAGACGAUAUCACCUUAUUCGAGAGAUCAUUGAUAGAGGGGAUAUCAAAAUAUGCAAAGUAGACACAAAUGACAACAUUGCAGAUCCACUGACCAAGCCUCUUUCACAGGUCAAGCAUGAUCAGCACACUAGGUCUAUGGGUAUUAGAUACUUGUAUGAUUAGGCCUAGUGCAAGUGGGAGAUUGUUAGUGUAUUUGCCCUAGGCCAUUAUCUUGGACCUUUUUGUAUGUCGUUUUAGUUAUUAAUAUUAGAGGUUUUUAUCAUCAUUAUAAUUUGUUUGCAUGUUACAUAAUAAUGAUUAUCAUCCCUGGUUACUUAUUAUUAUGUUGAUAAUAAUAAAAUAUAGCUAGUAUAAUUAUUGAUUGAUAAUUAUGAGAUGAUUAUGUAUAUGUUGAUAUAAUUGAAUAAUCAUAGAUACUUGUUAGAGAAUAAAGUAUUGGAUGGACACGCAUUGAGAUCACUACAUUUGUUAUUGUAAUAAGUGAAUCUCAAAGUAGUUAUGUCUUAAUCCUUUGACUUGAGAUUGUCAUAGUUUCCAACAUAAGGACUAUUAUGUUUUGACAUAACCAAACAUUGUCUUUAAUCGGACAAUCAUAAAGGUUAUGAUUGAGCAUAAUAGAAAUUAUGUAGAGGAUAUUGAACAAUCAAGGUAGGAUUUGUCCCUCUCUUUGAGAGAGAUNNNNNNNNNNNNNNNNNNNNNNNNNNNNNNNNNNNNNNNNNNNNNNNNNNNNNNNNNNNNNNNNNNNNNNNNNNNNNNNNNNNNNNNNNNNNNNNNNNNNNNNNNNNNNNNNNNNNNNNNNNNNNNNNNNNNNNNNNNNNNNNNNNNNNNNNNNNNNNNNNNNNNNNNNNNNNNNNNNNNNNNNNNNNNNNNNNNNNNNNNNNNNNNNNNNNNNNNNNNNNNNNNNNNNNNNNNNNNNNNNNNNNNNNNNNNNNNNNNNNNNNNNNNNNNNNNNNNNNNNNNNNNNNNNNNNNNNNNNNNNNNNNNNNNNNNNNNNNNNNNNNNNNNNNNNNNNNNNNNNNNNNNNNNNNNNNNNNNNNNNNNNNNNNNNNNNNNNNNNNNNNNNNNNNNNNNNNNNNNNNNNNNNNNNNNNNNNNNNNNNNNNNNNNNNNNNNNNNNNNNNNNNNNNNNNUAAUUAAUGAUUAAUAAUAAUAACACUUUAUUAUUAUUAAUUAUAUUAAUGGGCUAAAAGCCUAAAACCCAUUAAUAUAAUUAAUAAUAAUAAAGUGUUAUUAUUAUUAAUCAUUAAUUAAUAAUAAUAAAGUGUUAUUAUUAUUAAUUAUUUAUUAUUAUAAGAUAAUAGUAUUUAAAAAGAUUUGCAGUCUAUUUGUAACUGUUACAGAUAAAGGACUCUAUCACAUAAGAUAUUUGAGUAUAUGCGAGAUUGUGAUAGUGGAUUCUGAACACAACUCUUUUGGAAAAACAAAAAGACUGAAACAUAUAAAUACUCCUUGUACGAAUUGUGGAGUGAUGGUUUUUAGAAAAUUCAGUCUAACAGUUGUAGAUUGUGGAGCACAUAAUCUAUCCAUCCUUGAGAGAGCUAGCACUCUAUAAGGAUAGAAGAUAUUCGUGUGGAUACCAUUGAGGGUGUUCGUUUGAAAAAGUAGCACCAUCAAUCCGGCAUUGUAUCUUCUCGACGAGAUUAACAUGUUAGUCUCAUAUCCUUCCUUUUAUAUAAACGAAGCAUUCGGAUUCUGGGAAAGAAAAUCAGAGAACUUUUUUUUUUCGCUGCGCCUUUGGGUUGCAAUAAUCUCUGGAUUUCCUAACAGACACUUGGUGGGAUAUCACAAGCUAACAACAAGAAUAUUAACGGCAAAAUUUAAAAAUCAACUGAGAGCACAUGGAAAUUGCAACAGAAGAAAAAAAUGCAGAAAGAAAUAGUGUUUGGUAAAAGUUGAUUUCUUAUUUCACUGUACACCUAAUUAUACAAAAGAAUAGAUGAAUCUGGAAGAAAAAGAAAACAGAAAAUGCCAGCUAAAUACUGUACAACUAUACAAUAAAAAACUAUGUAUGGGUAGAGAUCAAGCCAAAUUUAAAUCCAUUUUUCAUGUUAUUAUUAAUCUUUAAUUACACAUUUUCUACCUAAUCUUGUAGUUUUGAUCUUAUUUUGCAGAAAAUGGUGUAAAAGAAUGAUUUAGUGAAAAAUGGCCUUAAAACUGUUCAAAAGAGAAUAAAAGAGAUCAAGUCUGGUUUGCCCAAGUCAGUUUGCCCAAACCAAGCUGCAGCUGAAAUAGGAGAAGGAUGAAGAAUAGCGCAGACUCCUGUUUGACUAGGUGUUUGCCCAAGCAAACUGGACAAACAAAUCCCGUAGAACAAACAGACUUUGCAACAGCAGACAACAGAAAUGCAGGAAAUCUAAAAUUCAAACUUUCAAGAAGUCUAUCCUUCCCCAAACACUUAAAGACAACUCAACAACUCACAAAGAUAGCUCAACACCCUAUCCCGCCUAUCAAGAAAGCCAAAUCUCAAUGGGAUUCAAUUGCCAUCAAGAGAUCCAACUCCAAAUUGGAAAAGGAUUCCAUCAAAUCAAGGAAAUUUAGAGCUGCACAUUCAAAUAUAAAUAGAGAGCCAAACUAGCAAGAAGAAAAAAAACUACUCUUCGAGAAUCUUCACAGCAGCCGCGCGCCUCUUGCCACUGCACCGCCAGCC